UAGACUUUCACGCACAAAAAAAUAUUUAUAUAGCAACAUUCCACUUGAGUUCAAAUCAUCAAACCAAAUAAAUCACACCAAUUGCAAUAAUCAGAAGCCAAAUUAUAAGAAUAAUAAAAAUGGCUUCUUUACCAGUAAAAUUCAGCAUGGUGGUAGCUUGUGUUUUGGUUUUAGUUAUGGUUGUUACUGCUCAAAAUAAUGGAGAAGAUGAAUUUAUAAACAAUGUGUCUGAAAUGUCUAACAAUAUGCCUGGAAUGCUAAUGGGUCCUUCACCAGCACCAACACCAGAAUCCUCUACUUCUCCACCAAUUGUCAGUUAUUCUGCUGCAAUUGCCAUUUUCCUUCCAUUUAUGAUUUCAUUUGUUGUAGCCAAAUGAGACAGGAUUUGAAUUUUAUUAACUACAUGUUAUUUCUAUUGUUCUAGUCAUAUGCUUUUAUUUAUCUAUUACUUAUGUGGUGUACUUGAAGUUAUAUGGAAUAAAAGAAAUUGUUAACUUGCUAAUGC
rnacentral:lncRNA from 1 species